UAAACUGGAGAGUUUGAUCCUGGCUCAGAUUGAACGCUGGCGGCAGGCCUAACACAUGCAAGUCGAGCGGAAACGAUACCUUCGGGUAGGCGUCGAGCGGCGGACGGGUGAGUAAUGCAUAGGAAUCUACCCAACUGUGGGGGAUAACCCGGGGAAACUCGGGCUAAUACCGCAUAACCUCUUCGGAGUAAAGCGGGGGCUCUUCGGACCUCGCGCUGAUGGAUGAGCCUAUGUCUGAUUAGCUUGUUGGUGAGGUAAUGGCUCACCAAGGCGACGAUCAGUAGCUGGUCUGAGAGGAUGAUCAGCCACACCGGGACUGAGACACGGCCCGGACUCCUACGGGAGGCAGGAGUGGGGAACAUUGGACAAUGGGCUAAAGCCUGAUCCAGCCAUG
rnacentral:rRNA from 1 species